AUGAUCAAAAGCUACAGAACAGCUGCUAAAUUUUGUUUACUGGUGUUUGCAAGGUUACAAACAAUGUGGAGAAAUGUGGUGGAAAUUAAUUCAGUUUAUUCUGAUACUGUAGGCUCCUUAAGUAUUUUACUUAAGUCUACUGUUUUCGGUUUCUGUUAUUUAUUUCCCGUUUUAUUGUGUAGUGUCUUUCACUUUACUUCCUGUCUUUGUCUGUUUUCCCACCAGUUUGGAUUGUCUGAUUAUUUUCACCUGUGCCUUGUUAUCCUCCCCCUCACCUGUGUAUCCGGUGUUGGGGUGUCUUUGUUCCCUCGUGUUUUCUCUAUAUUGUUCAGACUACUUUCAGUUUAUGGACUUCUGGAUUUAUUGGAUGCCUUUUGCCUGUUUCGUUUCGGACUACCGCCAUGGUUUUGAGGAAGCGGAGCCUCACGGAGGAAACGAGAGGAACCGACAAGAUUGCUGCUGCUGACUGACGACCGCUCGCUGAUCACUGUACGUUCAUUUCUACUAAUUUAACACACAUUGUUCAUAAAUUACGGUCAUUCAUACAUUAUGAUCCUCAGCCACUUUAUUCACAGUGGAAAGGGAAGAUGACUCAGUCAACUCUUAAAUUGAAUUAAACACUCAGCAUUAACUGCUGGCUCUGUAAUAAUUCUAAUAUGAAUGUGCUGAAUAAUUUAGAAAUUAAAACUAAGAUCUGCUUUUCCAUGAGUGUGUUAGAAGGAGAAAUGAGAUUAGCAGAGCAAAUAAAAUCACUGAGGCUGUGAGGAGUUUUAAACCUUGGCAUACAGCCACUGGUGCUGUAAUAGUAUUGCAUUAUGGUGAUGCAAUAGCUUACGUUUUGUUUCUAAAUUAGACUCUUGGAUCAUAACUUUAUAUUGUGAUGUCUGCAGGGCAAAAGCACCUCCCAGUGGCACUGAAUGAGAAAACUUAAUUGAUUCUUGACAUGGUUGUUUUAUUUAAUAUGUUCCAACACAUACAGUGAACCCAGUCUGAGCAGAAGAAGAAGCAGUCCUCUGUGUAUUCAGUACAUCUUCUGUGGUCUCUCUGUUGUAGCGAUAUUAAUGUUGAAAAUUAUUCUCUUCUAUAAAACAGUGAGUAUUGAAAGGUCUUUCAGCUCAUUUUUAAAGUCUCUGGCUGGUUUAAUCAAAUCACACUGCGGUGUUCUUCACAGUCUAGGUGGGCAGAAUAAUUACCUGUUGCAUACUUGUGGGUAGGCACACUGACAGG
rnacentral:lncRNA from 1 species